ACCAGUAAGACUCACUUUUAAAUGGUGGCCCGUGAUUGGCCAAAAGGACCGUUUCAGUCACCUAAUUUCUUACCGAAAACGUAAACUCCGAACGCAACAAUUGCGCGGAUAACAAAAUUUCACUUAAAAUUCAAAUACAUAAAUAUUAAAAUUAAUAAUUUACAUAAUAAAAUUACGGCGUUAAUUUUACCGUUUACAGUUUUCAAGUCCAUUAGUCCUUAGAGGGGUAUCAACAAUACCUCGUUCAAAUAGUCCGGUAAAAAUCCAAAGAAUCACUUUUCCAUAGACAUACAUAACCAAAUAUUGCCGUUUCUGAAAAUAAAUGAUAUUAUACAUAGAGCAAACAAAAAUAAAAUAAAUCGUAAAUAAUAAUAAAUAAUUAAACUGUCAAAACAAACAUGUUGCAGUACAGAUUUUGCCGCCCUUGUCAAUUACAUUGAACAGUGCUCUUUGACCUGUUCAAAACGGUGCAAUGUGAUUGGCACUUCCCUUUCUCCGUCGCACAAUACACAACACUCUUCGUUGCCUAGCAACGCGCGCACCAAACGACAAACAAAAAAAAACAACUUGAGAGAGACUACCUCUCCUCCUCGAUUCGUUUUUUUACCGUUGCGCGCCUGAAAAUCGCGCCUUUUUAAACACUUUUUAUCGGGUCGUCGCUGCUAACAGACCUGCGCGAAGAAGUUCACGGAUUUUGCAGUGCAAAAUCUUCGAAGGCUGGAACUGCUGCUGCUCUCCGACAGCUUCUGCCUUGAGCCGCUCCUGUUGAGAAGGACUCGGGAGGACUUACUUACUGUCACGUCACGGCAAUGGGUCAACGUCCAUCUGCGGUGAUGACUGCAUCCUUGCUGCGACUCCUCCUUCCUGCAGCGGACAGCGGCGUCGAGACGGCGCCUGUCCUCAAAACGACCAACAAACCUGGCCUGGUUCACCACGCGUCGACGGGGUCUGGCGUGGGGCGAUGAUGCUGUACCAGACAGCACGGCAUCUGGCACUGCAGCUGACGUCAUCAACUGCUGAUGUGGCGGCGUCCAGCCGCCCUGCCUCACGACUACGCGCGAGACGGCGUCGUGGCGUCUGCGGUGCUGAUUGCGUGGGGCGAGGUCACCACUUCCCACAAGGAAGCACUCGUCUAUUCCCAUCACUGUUAGGUACACAAUCGUUGCGAACCGCACUACGUCUAGCUCACUCUGGUGUAACCUUCGCACCUGACUUAAGUAUAGGUGUCCGGGUCUUAAUCGAUACCUUAAUCACUAUGUGCGUACUUGUACUCUUGCAAAUACAAGUGUCUGCAGGCAAUACAACUUGUGUACUUGCCGCGGAACACUAUGACGUCACCGUUAAAACAAAAAUAUCUUAAAUUAACCUUAAAAUUCCUAGCUUAACAUAUAACAUUCUCAUUAUUAACAUCAUUGUUAGAAAAAAAAAUAAAUAAA